rnacentral:rRNA from 1 species
GAUGGACGCUGGCGGCGUGCCUAAUACAUGCAAGUCGAGCGAACAGAUAAGGAGCUUGCUCCUUUGACGUUAGCGGCGGACGGGUGGGUAACACGUGGGUAACCUACCUAUAAGACUGGAAUAACUCCGGGAAACCGGGGCUAAUGCCGGAUAACAUUUAGAACCGCAUGGUUCUAAAGUGAAAGAUGGUUUUGCUAUCACUUAUAGAUGGACCCGCGCCGUAUUAGCUAGUUGGUAAGGUAACGGCUUACCAAGGCAACGAUACGUAGCCGACCUGAGAGGGUGAUCGGCCACACUGGAACUGAGACACGGUCCAGACUCCUACGGGAGGCAGCAGUAGGGAAUCUUCCGCAAUGGGCGAAAGCCUGACGGAGCAACGCCGCGUGAGUGAUGAAGGUCUUCGGAUCGUAAAACUCUGUUAUUAGGGAAGAACAAAUGUGUAAGUAACUGUGCACGUCUUGACGGUACCUAAUCAGAAAGCCACGGCUAACUACGUG